rnacentral:rRNA from 1 species
AUUGAACGCUGGCGGCAGGCCUAACACAUGCAAGUCGAACGGUAACAGGAAGCAGCUUGCUGCUUUGCUGACGAGUGGCGGACGGGUGAGUAAUGUCUGGGAAACUGCCUGAUGGAGGGGGAUAACUACUGGAAACGGUAGCUAAUACCGCAUAACGUCGCAAGACCAAAGGGGAGGACCUUCGGGCCUCUUGCCAGCUGAUGUGCCCAGAUGGGAUUAGCUAGUAGGUGGGGUAACGGCUCACCUAGGCGACGAUCCCUAGCUGGUCUGAGAGGAUGACCAGCCACACUGGAACUGAGACACGGUCCAGACUCCUACGGGAGGCAGCAGUGGGGAAUAUUGGACAAUGGGCGCAAGCCUGAUGCAGCCAUGCCGCGUGUAUGAAGAAGGCCUUCGGGUUGUAAAGUACUUUCAGCGGGGAGGAAGGGAGUAAAGUUAAUACCUCUGCUCAUUGACGUUACCCGCAGAAGAAGCACCGGCUAACUCCGUG